rnacentral:rRNA from 1 species
GUUUGAUCAUGGCUCAGGAUGAACGCUGGCGGCGUGCUUAACACAUGCAAGUCGAACGGGAAACCUUUUAUUGAAGCUUCGGCAGAUUUAGAUUGUUUCUAGUGGCGGACGGGUGAGUAACGCGUGGGUAACCUGCCUUAUACAGGGGGAUAACAGUCAGAAAUGACUGCUAAUACCGCAUAAGCGCACAGAGCUGCAUGGCUCAGUGUGAAAAACUCCGGUGGUAUAAGAUGGACCCGCGUUGGAUUAGCUAGUUGGUGAGGUAACGGCCCACCAAGGCGACGAUCCAUAGCCGGCCUGAGAGGGUGAACGGCCACAUUGGGACUGAGACACGGCCCAGACUCCUACGGGAGGCAGCAGUGGGGAAUAUUGCACAAUGGGGGAAACCCUGAUGCAGCGACGCCGCGUGAAGGAAGAAGUAUCUCGGUAUGUAAACUUCUAUCAGCAGGGAAGAAAAUGACGGUACCUGACUAAGAAGCCCCGGCUAACUACGUGCCAGCAGCCGCGGUAAUACGUAGGGGGCAAGCGUUAUCCGGAUUUACUGGGUGUAAAGGGAGCGUAGACGGAUGGACAAGUCUGAUGUGAAAGGCUGGGGCUCAACCCCGGGACUGCAUUGGAAACUGCCCGU